GACGAACGCUGGCGGCGUGCCUAAUACAUGCAAGUCGAACGCAGUGGGGACGGGUGAGUAACACGUGGGUAACCUCCCAUCAGAGGGGAUAACACUUGGAAACAGGUGCUAAACCGAUACUGAUGGAUGGACCCGCGGUGCAUUAGCUGGUUGGGGAGGUAACGGCUCACCAAGGCCACGAUGCAUAGCCGACCGUGGGGGGUGAUCGGCCAACCUGGGAUCUGGACACGGCCCAGGCUCCUACGGUAGGCAGCAGGGGGGAAUGUGCGGCAAUGGACGAAAUUCUGACCGAGCAACGCCGCGUGAGUGAAGAAGGUUUUCGGAUCGUAAAACUCUGUUGUUAGAGAAGCGGUAUCUAACCAGAAAGCCACGGCUAACUACGUGCCAGCAGCCGCGGUAAUUC
rnacentral:rRNA from 1 species